rnacentral:rRNA from 1 species
AUUGAACGCUGGCGGCAUGCCUUACACAUGCAAGUCGAACGGUAACAGGUCUUCGGAUGCUGACGAGUGGCGAACGGGUGAGUAAUACAUCGGAACGUGCCUAGUAGUGGGGAUAACUACUCGAAAGAGUGGCUAAUACCGCAUGAGAUCUACGGAUGAAAGCAGGGGAUCGCAAGACCUUGUGCUACUUGAGCGGGCGAUGGCAGGUUAGGGAGUUGGUGGGAUAAAAGCUUACCAAGCCGACUGUCUGUAGCUGGACUGUGAGGACGAUCAGCCACACUGGGACUGAGACACGGCCCAGACUCCUACGGGAGGCAGCAGUGGGGAAUUUUGGACAAUGGGCGAAAGCCUGAUCCAGCAAUGCCGCGUGCAGGAUGAAGGCCUUCGGGUUGUAAACUGCUUUUGUACGGAACGAAAAGCCCCGGGUUAAUACCCUGGGGUCAUGACGGUACCGUAAGAAUAAGCACCGGCUAACUACGUGCCAGCAGCCGCCGUAA